rnacentral:rRNA from 1 species
AUUGAACGCUGGCGGCAUGCCUUACACAUGCAAGUCAAACGGCAGCACGGGGCAACCUGGUGGCGAGUGGCGAACGGGUGAGUAAUGCAUCGGAACGUACCUUUCAGUGGGGGAUAACGUAGCGAAAGUUACGCUAAUACCGCAUAUUCUGUGAGCAGGAAAGCAGGGGAUCGCAAGACCUUGCGCUGAUUGAGCGGCCGAUGUCAGAUUAGCUAGUUGGUGAGGUAAAGGCUCACCAAGGCGACGAUCUGUAGCGGGGCUGAGAGGAUGAUCCGCCACACUGGAACUGAGACACGGUCCAGACUCCUACGGGAGGCAGCAGUGGGGAAUUUUGGACAAUGGGGGCAACCCUGAUCCAGCCAUGCCGCGUGAGUGAAGAAGGCCUUCGGGUUGUAAAGCUCUUUCGGCCGGGAAGAAAUCGCACGGGCUAAUACCCUGUGUGGAUGACGGUACCGGAAUAAGAAGCACCGGCUAACUACGUGCCAGCCGCCGCGGUAAUAC